rnacentral:rRNA from 1 species
UACGUAGGGGGCUAGCGUUGUCCGGAUUUAUUGGGCGUAAAGAGCGCGUAGGCGGCCGAGUAAGUCCGACGUGAAAACUGGAGGCUCAACCUCCAGCUGUCGAUGGAAACCGUUUGGCUAGAGUCCGGAAGAGGAGAGUGGAAUUCCUGGUGUAGCGGUGAAAUGCGCAGAUAUCAGGAAGAACACCGAUGGCGAAGGCAGCUCUCUGGGACGGUACUGACGCUGAGACGCGAAAGCGUGGGGAGCGAACAGG